AACAAAAAAAAAAAGAAAAAAAAAAAAGAAAAAAACUAGUUAUUGAGGUCUUAGGUGUCUCU
rnacentral:ribozyme from 1 species